UUUCCUUUUUUCUUUUUCUUUUUUUUUUUUCUCAGGCUAUCCAUUUGCAGAACUAUGUCAGGGUUGUGGGAUUACACAGGGCUCUGUGUGUGAAUGCUUUCUGUGGGCUCUGUCCUGGAAACCUCUUUUUUCUUGAAAAUGGGCCAAUGGGCCUCUUUCUGCUUUGCACCGCAUGGGGACGACUGUGACCGGGCCACACCAGCCCCCAGUCUACACAUACAGCACUUUGUCAACAAGUUAACAACCUAUAAUUGUGAAGAAAAAGAUGCACCUGGAGAAUUUCGAGAGGACAUUAACCGUGUUUUCAUUGCACUGCUGCACUGGCCUGCAGUCCCACAGUUACAACACUGAAAACUCAAUCUAUUUCCUUGUUACUCAUGAUCCUCCUGGUGAUAUUAAAGGCACAGCACGGUGGUUGACCAAGGAACAGUCACUCUUGCAAUCAGUCUCAGUUCAAAGUAGAGAGAGAGGAACCACAAUCACGCACAAAAGCUUGAGACAUAAGAACUUGUAACCAUGACAGCUGCAUCCUACAAACACUACAGAAGACAGUAACAGCAAUUCCUCCCUGCAAAGCCUGUGUUUACUCAGUUUCCUUUGUAUGCAUUGGCAGUCCCCAUUUAAGUACAGUAUCAGUACCACGACAAAACAGUUUUUAAGGUGUCUUGUCAUCAGAGGAAUGUUGUUGACCCUUCCCUCUUUUCAUGGGGUAAUACAGCAAGUAUUUUCUUUGAUGUGGAUCCUUGAGGCACUGAACAUGUGAACUUUCCAGGACUGCGUUAUUUUAUCUCAAAUAAGGGUCAGGAUUUGCAGGUAGAAAGGGUAUGAUCAACUAGUAAGAAUGGAGGAUUGAAAAAGAUUGACAUGGAAGACGGUUGUCCUGGUUUAGUUGGCAGUUAUACAGACCUGAUGUAGUGGAAAUGUCAUGACCUGAAACGGUGAUUGAGCACCUGGUGGGAAGGCAGGGCCAAUCCAGGGGAGCUCAGGUGCAUGCAAUGCUCCUGAGUGACGAGAAGGGGUGGAGCCAGGAUCCAUUCCCCUCCCAGACCUCAUUUAAGGGUUGGCAGCGGAGGUAAAGGUAUCUUCUGUGGGAGGUUCCUGUCUACUGAAGGUCUUCUACAGGCCAAAUAGGAUGAAAGAAACUGAAGUUACUAUUCUGACCCUGCCAGCCCAAUUUCUCUAGGGUGCCUGGAGGGAAACUCGCACACAGACAUCAAGAGAACAGCAAGGCCAAACGGAAGAGAGCUCAGGUGACGCUUCUUGGACUCUCCUGCUCCCCUCCUGCAACUGUAGUGAAGCUGAGGUGUGAAGCAGCAAGUACUAAGUCUUGCUUUCACAUAGCCAGUGUAGGCAGUGCUACCCCAUUCACAAACAAUCAAAGUAGGUCCUCCAAAAUGGUCUCGUCCAUCUGUGCCCUCAAAGCUUCUCACCUUCACACCUCAAAAUAACCAACAUACUUUGACGUGUUGGAGCAUUGUGUCAAACAUCUGGAGGCCAGAAAGGGCCUGUUCAUCAUCUCACUAUGAUUGGUUCAGUCUAACCACAGUCUGAAUAAUUCUGUGCAGGAGGAAAAGUUUAGGACUGGGUUUCCUGGGCGGAGAUGCUAUGCUGACUGAAUAUCAAUUACCAGUGUCAUUACUGCUUCAGUCCUGUAGUUCUUCAUAAUGCCACUGCCAGAAUCAAGUACGUGAAAGACAAGUGCAGGGGAAGAAGAUGAUGUGUCUGAAGGAGGUAUUCUCGAGCAAUGCAGAGCUUCAUCCACUGGUGAAAAGCAGAAAACAUACAAACAAAAUAAUGUUUUGCUGACACUUUGCUGUACUGUUCAGUGCAGUUACAUGAACAGACAACGUUUCCCAUGGAAGAUGCCAACUAAAGCAAUGAACUGGGAGUCUGUAUUGAGAAGACUUCCAGAGGGAGCUGCAAAUCAGCAGCAGCUGGAUUGGACUCAGAAGGAAUGAUGAUUUUGAUGGGAUUAUAGCUGAAUUCGAUUAAAAUGUUUUCUUUGUUAAAUAUAUCUGUUAUUUUCCUAAAUACCAAGAGGUACACUGACUCCUACUAGUCCUAGAAGAUUUCAAAUAUGCUUUUUGCUCAGAUUUAGGGAGUGUAGGAAGUGUCAGGUAGUACAGACGCAAGGGAGUUUAAGUACUUCUGCUAGUAUAUUGCAACACGCGAGUCCAGCUGACAAACAUAACUUAUGUAUGAACUUUUAACCUGACAUUUUCCCUUUAGUUUCAAUGGAUGGUAUCAAUUUUGAAUGUAUUACUAUUGUAAGAUUUACGGACGCUUGCUGAAGGCCACUGACUUCCAAUCAAGAAUCUGACAAUAUGGUUGCUUAGAGGCUUCUUCGCAGUCCUUCUGUAUCUUGUUUCUUAAAAGCUUUCCAAGUACAUGGCAAAGGAAUGCAAUGAAACAAAUGUCACUUUGUUCUUGAAAACAUAUGGAAAAAGCUUUCAGAAUACAACAGAUGCUUGAAUCUUCUAAUAGAUUUAUCUGUAUUCUUGUUUGUUUUGUUGACUAAAAUGUAAAAGUGUUUUUUAAAAACAGAUGUUAAAAGUCAUAUAGAUGUACUUUAGUUCCAUGGAGGUAGGACACUUAAAAACUGUAGCAAACCUGAACUUGUUUUAGCUGCUAUUUUAUAUGUGAAUGCAAAACAUCCUCAGUGAAAUGGUGUGUGUUUAAAAAAAAAAAAAAAAAGUCAAUGUACUUACUGUGGUUCUGUCUCUGGCUUUCCAUCCCUGGAGUUUUGAUUGCAGCUCCCUCGGGGAGUACAUGCCAGAGAGACGCAUGGAUCUCUACUUGAAUCUGUUGUCAUCCAUUGGAAAAGUUUUUAAUUAAAUAAAUUUUCUCAAGGGUUCAGAGAACUGAAAGGAAGGCAACAUCCUUGGAGGGAUUUUCUCAAAGUUUAAAGCCAUUCCCCCUUGUGCUGCGCAAAGCUCUGCCUGAAGUAUUCGUCAUUCCAGCAGAAAGGACCCUGGGGCUAGAAGAGGUUUGGGGCCAGCCGAGAUAAGAGAUUUCACAGUACCACAUGAAGCAGAAUUGAUCUGGAUUGCCAUAAAGCCUGGACAGUACAGCAAAUUGGACUGGUGAGAAAGUAGUUCAGAUUUUAACACCAAUAACACAUACCUGGUGGCACAUUGUGGACUCCACGUAAACACCGCUGCCAGUCUUCGUGAAUUGAUGGAAAGUCAUUAAUCUUGGAAGAUUCAAAGUGACAUUAGUAUGUCCAGUGAUGGGGUGAGAUCUAUAACCAGGUGAAAUACGUGCUGACUCUAGAGAUGGAGAAGAAUGUGAAUGAAAAGCUGCUUAAGACUCAUUUGUGAUUUAUGUAUGGACAGAAGUACAGAAACUGCUUAGAUUCUGUUAAUCACUUCCCCGAUGUCUUUCAUGGUGUUCUUCAGCAUGGUACAAGCAUAAUGCUUAGGUGAGGGAUCAUAACUCAUACAGAAGAAAGCACAGCACUAAGUUCCAUUACCCUGCAAUCUGAGACAUGCUGGAUACUGAAGCAUAUUUUAGCAUGCACGGUAUGCUACAGGGGUGUGGGAGCCUGUGACCUGAGACAUUUCAAAGCUGUGUAAAACAGCCUGCUCUCCCAUGCUUGGUCCUACACCUCUGCAGCCAGGGAACUCCAGGGUGCCCAGAACAUCAGCAUCCAAGGUCACUUCUGCCAGGAUACACAUCUCUCUCAUUAC
ensembl:lncRNA